AUCACUUUCUCUCUCUAAAAAUCAAAGUCUCUCUCUACUAUUUUCUCUCUGAAAAAAACUAAAACCCUAAUAGAUUUUUACGCUUAAAAACCAUAAUUGUGCUUCAAAGAUUUUUGAAGAUGGUGAAAGAAGAUGAUAUGUAAGUUUAAUUUCUUUAUUCAAAGUACUGUAAUGAUGGGUUUCGACGUUUUUCGUUUUUUAUUUUUUUUGUUAUAUUUAAAUUUUUUUUUCGGGAUUUUUUUUUUGAUUUUCAACACUCAUACUAAAGAUCUGUUGAAGAAACAUACAAUUGUAGUUUUUUUUUUUCCUUUAAUUCGAUUUUAUUGUUGAUUUCGUGUGGCUCAGUGUUUUUUUAUUUUUUUGGGUGUUUUUUUUUUUUUUUGGUAUAAAUCCGUGAGUAAUUUGAUAUGCAAUUGAUUUUUUUUUUCUCCUUUAAUUCGUGCUAAUUGCUGAUUUCGUGUGGCUGAAUUUGUUUUGAUUUAUACAAAAUUGGUGAUGUUCUGUAUAGAUUGUGAGUUAUUUGUUUUAUUUUGGGAUAAAAUUUGUUGUAUCGGGGACGAGUAGAUGUGAUAAUUGAGUAGAAAAGUGUAAUGGGGCAUGUUUUCAAAGUUCAUAGCCAAUAAUUUACCCAUCUUUUGGUUAAAGGGAUAUUGGGUAUUCCUUUUUACUUUGCCAACUCUAAAACUUUCGAUGAGCCUUUGAUACAGUAAUGGACCUUGAUGUAAUAUUUAUGUCCUUUCCAUGUGAUUUUGUAAUAUUUGGGCUGAAUUUCUUUUAAUUUAUAUAAAUUUGGUGAUUUUUGUAUGGAUCCGUGAAUUAUUUGUUUUUUUUUUUUUUGAUGUAGUGUGCAACACGAAGAACAAGAUGGUGAGAUAUUAAUAUCUUACCUUGAAAAGAAAAAGGGUAAAAGUAAGAGGAAAACUGAAGGAAUAAGUAGUAGAGAGGUUCAAGAUCCAAUUGUGGACCCAGAGAUGUUUGAAAGCCAUUAAUAAAGAUAUUGCCAUUACCAAAGCUGAAGACGAAAUUGAAGUUCCAAAGCAAUCUGCUGUAGUAGAGCCUGAAACUGAGGAUGAAACCAAACGAGACAAAGAAUAUGAGGCUGAUGAUGGGACUAAAAAGAAGCCUUACCGAUUUAAACAAAUAGCAAGGAAAAAGGGCAAAAAGAUGGGUGGGAAAGUUCAAGAUAAACAUGAGGAAGAGGAAGUUGAUCAAUCAGAGACCCGGUGAAGGUUAUUGAGGAAAAACCUGAACAAGGUGCUGCAAAAUCAAUAUCUCAGUCUGCAAAAUAAUCAAUUGUUCAGGCUCCAAAGGUGGUUGCAAUAGAGAAGAAGCCUAAAAUAAAGAAAGCCACGAAAGGAAUUGCACAAAGAGAUGUAGUACCUUGUGAUGAUGUUGCUAAUGAGGAAGGACCUAGAAUAAAGCUGUCAACGAGGCAAACUGUCAUGCCUUUGAUGCACUUGGUCCAGCAGUUGGCUAACCAAGUUGAUUAGCUUCAAGCUAUAAAGGAUAUGGGUUUUGGUGGAUUUUUGCACUUGGAUUUUCCCCACAAUUAUCCUGAAUUCUUGUGUUGAAUUUUGAUGCCGUAGGAAUGAAAUUUAAUUUGGAUAGAAAUAGAUCAAUUGAUGUGAAAGCUGCUGGUGUUCACAUGGUAUAUGGAAUACCAAGUAGAGGAAAGGAAAUAAUGGAUGCAAAGGAUGGCAAUGAAGAUCAUAAGGAGGUGUUAAAUAGUUAUAAGAGAUACCCUUGGGGAGUACUUCCCAAUAAUGUGAACAAACUUGUGAGCAAAUUAUGAUGACUGGAAGAGGAGUUUCUUGGUGUUGGUGGUAAACUGUUGCAUUAAGAGUAUUCAAAAUCAACAACCUUAUCUCAGAUUUUUGCACACUGCGAUCAAUGUAAAUUGUAUUUUUGAAUGACUGGUGUGGUUACACCAUGGAGAGCCUGAUUGAGUGGGUUCUUUGUUGGAAGAGGGGUGUUGCAAGAUUUUUCUGUGGACCAUUACCAUUUCUUUGGGUGUGCUACUUUGAUCGGCUUCAAAAGAUGACUUUGGAGCAAAGUAGAGAAUUCCCUCUCAUUAAGGUCUGGACUACUGAUCUUAUCAAGUAUAAAUUAGAUCUUGAGCUGAGGUUAGGCUUUGGUCUUGGUACUUUGUUGGAUAGAGUGCAACCACCAAUUAAUGUGGACAUCCCAAUUUCACAACAUCUAUUAGAUGAGAACCAACCAGAGAUGAAAUAAGACAACAACAGGAGGAAGAGCAGCAACAGGAAAGUAAUGUAAACGAACAACUUGGGCAAGAUCAAGCACAACAACAAGAAGAAUCAGGAGAGCAGCAACAAAAAGAACAUCAAAAUGGAGGGCAGCAACAAAAAGAACAACCUCAAGGAGAGCAACAACAAAAUAAACAUCAAAAUGGUGGAGAAUAACAAAAACAAGAGAAAAAAGUCCCAUCUAAGUGUGCAGGAGUAUAAUCAAAUGCUUCGAGAGGUAAUCGAAAGGAUUGCUAACACGCCUCUCGAAUAUCUUGAAAUUAGGUGAGAGGUUCCAUACAACCUCGUUGAAUGAAGAGACCACUAUGUACAAUCUUACAACCAUGUGGUUCAAGUGUGCCAGAGUAAAUUUGCCGAAUGUAAUACAACAACACACACAAAGUAAACAUGUCGAGGGAGCAUCAAUUCUUAGUCAGGACAUUGACUUCUUUGCAUCAGAUUGGUUUGGGAACAUGAUUGACGAUGUUGUGAAGAAUGUGAUGAUGGCUAGUAUUCAAGAUCCUACACCACCACAUGCUCAUGUUCAUGUUAAUGAACCUGAUAUGAAAGUAGAUGAGGUUGUUUUGGAAACAGCAGAUGUGGGGGAAGAACAGCUAGAAAGUGAAAAAAGUGAAGGGUAUGAUCAUAUUUUUUUAAAAUGCUUUUUGAUGUAUUAACAUGGUGCUUAUUUUACUAUACUAUGUAUUAGUUUAAUUGUAAAUGUGGAAGAGGUUGUUGGGUAAAAAGGAGAAAAAGAAAGGGAAAAAUGGAGGAAAAUAGGUAAAUAUUCUUUACUUAUACUCUAUGUUCUUUUUUAAUUAGCUAUAUGUUCUUUUAUCAAGGAUGUAUGUUUUUAUUAUUAUAGUUAUGUGUAAUCUUUUGUUAAUUAAUUUUGCAGAGGUUCUCCUAAGACUACAAAGAGAGUUAGGAAGGUGGGACGUGUUUCGGGGUUUUCUGAUGU